rnacentral:rRNA from 1 species
AUUGAACGCUGGCGGCAGGCCUAACACAUGCAAGUCGAACGGUAACAGGAAGCAGCUUGCUGCUUCGCUGACGAGUGGCGGACGGGUGAGUAAUGUCUGGGAAACUGCCUGAUGGAGGGGGAUAACUACUGGAAACGGUAGCUAAUACCGCAUAACGUCGCAAGACCAAAGAGGGGGACCUUAUGGCCUCUUGCCAUCGGAUGUGCCCAGGUGGGAUUAGCUAGUAGGUGGGGUAACGUCUCACCUAGGCGACGAUCGCUAGCUGGUCUGAGAGGAUGACCGGCGACACUGGAAGUGAGACACGGUCCAGACUCCUACGGGAGGCAGCAGUGGGGAAUAUUGCACAAUGGGCGCAAGCCUGAUGCAGCCAUGCCGAGUGUAUGAAGAAGGCCUUCGGGUUGUAAAGUACGUUCAGCGGGGAGGAAGGGAGUAAAGUUAAUACCUUUGCUCAUUGACGUUACCCGCAGAAGAAGCACCGGCUAACUCCGUG